UCAGAGGCUGCGAGUGUCGCUGCUGAAGGCUGUGGUGGACCCGGCCGGGUCGCGGAUUCUGAGCUACAUCUCGGGUUUGGGGUUAGGGUUAGUGGAAAGGCCACGAGGAGCCGCGGGGGCUCAGGAGCCGGUGGUGGGCGUCUGAGGAGAAGUCGCCCCAUGAGGAAGCUCUUCAGCUUCGGGAGACGCCCGGGCCGGGCGGUCCUGGGCUCCAUCGACCACGAGUACCCGGGUCCCGCGUACCACACCAGGGACGCGGAACUGCGGAAGAUCCACAGGGCGGCCCUCAAGGGCGACGCCGCGGAGGUGGAGCGCCGCCUGGCGCGCAGGUGCCGGGACGUGGAUGCCCAGGACAGGACUGUUCUACAUUUGGCCUGUGCCCACGGCCGUGUGCAAGUGGUCACUCUCUUGCUGAGCAGAAAAUGUCAGAUCGACAUCUGUGACAGACUAAACAGGACGCCUUUAAUGAAGGCUGUAUAUUGCCAGGAAGAGACGUGUUCCAUUAUUCUGCUGGAACAUGGCACCAGUCCAAACAUUAAGGACGUCUACAGCAACACUGCUCUUCAUGAUGGUAAACAUUGAGGAUGUCUACGGCAACACUGCUCUUCAUGAUGCUGUCUAUGAUAAGGGGACUUCACUGGCAGGAAGCCUGCUUUCCCACCAUGCAAAUACUGAAGCACUAAACAAGAAACAACAGCUAUGAAGCCUGCAAAUUUGUAAAAAGGAGAAGAAGGUGCAAAAGAACACGACUUAAAAGUGGCUUCAGAGGAAAAGCAAGAAACGCUUGAAAGAAGUGAAAAUAAACAGCCAGAGAUUUUCAAAGUUAUAGAAAAAAGAAGGAUGUGAUAUAUACAAAUUGCAUAUUGAAGGGAGAUAUUGCCACACUCAAACAGGAAUAAUACACAAUAAAAAAUGACAGUGUCAAAAAGGAAAAGGAAUAUAUUCAGGAAAUUAAGAGUAUUAGAGAAAUAAAUGCUAACUUUGAAAAAAGUGCAAGACUCAAUGAGGAAAUGACAACAAAAACGAUGUCCCAGUAUUGUCAACAGCUUAAUGGCCUCAAAGCUGAGAAUACAAGGCUGAAUUCAAAAUUGGAGAAGGAAGAACACCACACAGAUGGACUGGAAGCUGAAGUUGAAUUCUUCCAUUCUAGGCUGGCUGCUGCUAUAAAUGAGCACAAUGAAAGUUUAGAAACGAAAGACCUAGAACUUGUUUUACAGAGAGCACAUAAUUUUUCCGUACAUAAAAAAAUAAGUUCUACUGUUUCUCAACUAAAAGAUAAAAAUGAGUUGCUUACUGAACAAUUUUCUAAAGCUCAGAUGAAGUUCAAUACCUUAAAAGGUAAGCUCCAUGAGAUAAGAGAUGCUCUCAGGGAAAAGACAUUGGCUUUAGAAAGUGUACAGAUGGACCAAAGGCAAGCACAGCAUCGAAUAAAGGAAAUGGAGCAGAUUCAUCCAAAUGAGGAAACUAAAGGAGUCGAUCCACCGGAAAGCACAACUGUGUAGAGGAGAGACUAUGUCAACUAGAAUGUGACAGUCUCUUGCUUCAACGACAACUAGAGGGUGCUCAUAAGGAAGGCAAUGAUAAAGAGAUAGUAAUUAAUAUCCAAGGAGGCUGUCUUGAGAGUGGAAAGAUCUUCUAGAAGAGAAAAAUAAGAAACUAAUGAAUGAAUAUAAUUCUAUAAAAGAAAAACUGUUUCAGUAUGUAAAAGAAGAAGGAGAAGUAAGUAUGAAGAAAGAUAAAUAUAUUUAACCUUCCAGAAAGAAAAUUUAAACAUUUCAUUGUGGCUAUAUGUUGAAUCUAGUUCAAUAUAAUAAUAAAUAGAUGAAAAUGUAUUUACCAUACUGUAUAAUUCCAUUAACAUGAAACAUCCAGAAAAGACAUGUAUAGGGACAGAAAGAAGAUGAAUGUUUCUGUAGGGCUGGGGCUGGAAAUGGGUCGUGACUGCUGAUGGGCAUGAGGGAUCAUCCUGGAGUGAUGAAAAUGUUCUAAAGCUGGAUUGUAAAGAUGACUGCACGACUGGUAAAUUUACUAAAAAUCUUUGAACUGUAUGUUAAAACAGAUAAAUUCUGUAGUAUGUAAAUCAUAUUUUAGCAAAGCUGUUUUAAUAAAAAAACAAAAAAAAUAUGUUUACUGUAUCAGCUUGGAAACAUACCUUGUUUCCAGGAAAUAAAAGGUAGAGCUGACAGAUGCUUUCCUUUGAGUAAACACAUUAUGUCACCUAUGAAAUUUUAGUAGCUACAGAGUAAUGUUCAUACAGUAUGUAGUCUUAUACUGCUGAAAUAAUAAAUUUAAUGUCUUUAUGUUGUCACAUUUUAAGACCAUAAUGAAGCAGAUAAAUUGAUAUCUUGUACCUGAAAUAAGUAUUUUGAAAUUAAGAUUCAAUUAAGUGAGCCACUUUGACACUUAAUUCUAGAUUUCCCAGAUGAACUGAAGUGUGUUGCUCUGUCUUGUGGUGCUUUUCCUUCAGUGGCUCUUUUAUGUAUUUUAGUUGGCAUAACUUUAUUUUGAUUCAUAUCAAUGUGACUUAAGUCUGAAAAUAUGUCAGUCUCACAUUAUGUAUUUUUCUGACCACUUAAUAUUUUAAAGACAUCUACUUGUUAUAAAAUCACAAUUUGGAAUAAAUGUGGUAAAUUUUAGCAAAA
rnacentral:lncRNA from 1 species